GCCUGGGUGGCUCAGUCAGUUAAGCAUCCGACUUCGGCUCAGGUCAUGAUCUCGCAGUUUGUGGGUUCAAGCCCCAUGUCAGGCU
rnacentral:tRNA from 1 species